rnacentral:rRNA from 1 species
UACGAAGGGGGCUAGCGUUGCUCGGAAUCACUGGGCGUAAAGCGCACGUAGGCGGCUUCUUAAGUCAGGGGUGAAAGCCUGGAGCUCAACUCCAGAACUGCCUUUGAUACUGAGGAGCUUGAGUCCGGGAGAGGUGAGUGGAACUGCGAGUGUAGAGGUGAAAUUCGUAGAUAUUCGCAAGAACACCAGUGGCGAAGGUGGCUCACUGGCCCGGUACUGACGCUGAGGUGCGAAAGCGUGGGGAGCAAACAGG